rnacentral:tRNA from 1 species
GGAGGCGGGGCUGGCGGGAGCGCUAGGAAGGCGCGACUAGAAGCCUCGGUUCAAGUCCGAUCGUCUCCA